rnacentral:miRNA from 1 species
UCGGGGUGGCCCCGUGUCUGC